rnacentral:rRNA from 1 species
GACGAACGCUGGCGGCGCGCUUAACACAUGCAAGUCGAGCGAAGCGGCGGACGGGUGAGUAACACGUGAGUAACCUGCCUUAGACAUUGGGAUAGCCUCGGGAAACCGGGAUUAAUACCAAAGUCUAAGAUGGGCUCGCGACCUAUCAGCUUGUUGGUGGGGUGAUGGCCUACCAAGGCGGUGACGGGUAGCCGGCCGGAGAGGGGGACCGGCCACAUUGGGACUGAGAUACGGCCCAGAGUCCUACGGGAGGCAGCAGUGGGGGAUAUUGCACAAUGGGCGAAAGCCUGAUGCAGCGACGCCGCGUGGGGGAUGAAGGCUUUCGGGUUGUAAACCUAUUUCGCGAUCGAACGGGGAGGUGGAGAAGAAGCGCCGGCUAACUACGUGCCAGCAGCCGCGGUAAUAC